rnacentral:rRNA from 1 species
UGCGUAGGCGGUUUAAUAAGUCAGAGGUGAAAGCCCGCAGCUCAACUGUGGAAUUGCCUUUGAUACUGUUAGACUUGAAUGAGGUUGAGGUUGGCGGAAUGUGGCAUGUAGCGGUGAAAUGCAUAGAUAUGCCAUAGAACACCAAUUGCGAAGGCAGCUGACUAGACCUGUAUUGACGCUGAGGCACGAAAGCGUGGGGAGCGAACAGGAUUAGAUACCCUGGUAGUCC